CAGCCUAAUAUUUUCUUCUCUAUUUUGUCUUCUGUUUGUCUCUCUUAGGUUUUGGCUUUGUCACUUUUGAGAAUCAAGACGUGGUCGAGAAAGUUUGUGAGAUCCAUUUCCAUGAGAUCAACAACAAAAUAGUGGAGUGUAAGAAAGCCCAGCCCAAAGAAGUGAUGACACCAACAGGCUCUGCUAGGGGACGCUCCAGAGUGAUGCCUUAUGGGAUGGAUACAUUCAUGUUGGGCAUUGGCAUGUUAGGCUAUCCAGGAUU